ensembl:lncRNA
CAGGACUUGGAACAAGUGAACAUUAUUGACUCAUUGGUGUGAUAGUCAGGGACCCACGAGGGUGAAACAGAUCCUGCUAAAAGAUGAAUGAAAGUGCCCAAGGGCAUCCAUGAACUCUGGUGAGACAGAAGGAGCAGGACCUGUGCAGUGAGCAUGGAAAUGGGAACUUUCCAUGACACACAGGCUGUGAGCGAGUUUCACUGGAACCACUCAUCUGAGAGCUCGGCCUCUCUCGUCUGUCUGUUUACCAGUUUAGACCCUCAAGGGGAAAAAACUAUUUUUGUCUCCUGUUUCAUGUCUUCAGGAACAUUUGCUAACUUAAGGCAUCAGCUGUCAGAGCUGCAGGAACUUCUGGAAACCACUUAGGCCCUCCAGCCGAGCCCGAUGUUACAGAUGAGGAAACUGAGACACAGGGAGGCUCCAAGGACACGCUGGUAGUGUCUCUGACAGCUAGCCCAGGGCCUUUCAACCUGGCGAGACAUGAAAAUCUCUGCUCCCUGUGCCAGGAGUGGCCUGAUCAUUAGAACAAGACAUUUCGAAGAAAGCUGCCUGUUUACCAUCGUGACCCCCAAACAAAACUUGAAGGAUACCAGUAACUUUUCACAUCAUUUUAAAGAAACAAAGGUUGGUGCUUUAUUUUUGCAAAGGGUAAAAUAUACCAUCAUUUUUGUUCUUUCCCCAACGCAGAAAGGAGACAGUCUACUGGACAGGAGAAAACUCUAGGGCGAGUUGCCAUUUUCAGUUUAUCCCCACGGACAUUUGAACCAAACGACUUGAGUCCUGACCCCUUCGUCCCUAUAGUCCCCCACAGUAAACGCAUCAACUCAUCACAAAUGAGCAGAGACACAUUGGUCUCCUCGGCCAGGUAGCAUCCACAUUCGCGACAGGUGUGCUCCUGCCACCAGGUCCCUGUCCCUCCCUCAGGGGUCCAGACAGGGCCGGACACAGGGGUGGCAGCAUGGUGCCGCCUUUGGUGGCGGGUAGCAGCUCUCUCACCUGUGGGCUCACCAGGCCAGGGCCGUGUCCUUCACCGAGGUGACGGAGGUCUCCUGCUGUCCCUGCAGACGCCGACGAACAGCCCUCGGUGAUAAAGGACCGGGACACGGAGCAAAGGGCCCCUGUCCCCUGCGUCCGGCCCACAGGGUGAACCACAGGCGGGUGUCCGGGCUCAGAGGCCUUCUCUCCAGCCCCGGAGCUUCUUCUGCCGGCCCCUGGGCGCCGGCUGGCCCGGGACGCGGGGCCGAGGCUUCUGAGGGAACAGGCCACCUCUCUCUGCUCCCCUUGCCGCGCCCACAGCCUGGCCCCUGGGACCCAGGACCUCUCCGCACGCCCCACCCAACCUGGCCAUGGAGCAGAAGGCGGGACAAGACCCUUGGGAGCGGCCCUUUGGCGCCAUUGGCGGUUCACAUGCGCGUGGCGGGCGGUCACGGGCACGCGCUUUCUUUGGCCGUGUGCACAGGGCCAGGAAGCGAGCCCGGCCGACCUUGGGGUCCGCCCAUGUCCGCCGCUGGAGGGAGGCCGUGCGGCCCCGAGCGCGUCCCCGCCACAGCCCGCGGGGAGAUCCCGGCCAUGGCCAUGCCAAGCUGGGCUGCUGCAGCCCCACCACCCGCCCCUCAGGGGACAGUGGGGAAACGGAGGCCAGGAGCGCCAGGGACUGGCUGGGCCCUUGAGCUGGGCAGAGGCCCCAGGACAAGAAAUAGAGCCUCCUCCCGUUUGCAUCGCGGCGUCUGUGUUUCCGUUCACUGGCUUAUUCAUCCACUCAUUCACUCAUGGCCUCACUCACUCACUCAUUCAUCCAGUCAUUCAUUCAUUCAGGCCUUCACUUGUUCCUCAUCCGUUCAUUCGUUCAGCAUGGCCUCGGUGACCAGUGUGGUGUCCACAAGGAAAUGCAGGGUCUGGUGGGGCUCAUCCCCUGUGAGGUGACAGAGGAAGCCAUGGAGGUCAGCAGAGAAGGCUCUGGAGAGACAGGAAAGUCGUGGCCCCCACCCCAAGCUGAUGGCACCAAGAGAAACUUGCCCACCUACCACAGGACCCUCCUGGCAGCAUCUCCCAGGCUGACCUUUAGGACCCCAUGGCCAUCUUGGGCCACCUUUCUGAGCCACUGGGUCUGGAUGUGGGGACAUGUAGGGUCCUCCCCAGCCCCAGCUAAGAGAGGGGACCUUGGGGAGCUCGCAGAUGAGAGCAGAGCACGCCAGUCCUGGGACUGAGGAAGUUUUGAUGCCACUCUGUGAGUGGACACUGGGCAGAGGUUGGCAGGAAACCCCCCAAUAUAUCUGUGCCCAUUGUAAUCCAGGGCAGGGGACAGCCGGGCACUGCUGUCACAGCCACAGGUUGGCUUUGUGAGCGGAGCUUGGGAGAGGGAGAGGGGGACUGCCAGCACUGGAAAGACACGGGC